rnacentral:rRNA from 1 species
GCGAAACGUUAGCGGCAGGCCUUAAACCACAUGCAAGUCGAGCGAGAAAGGGGGCUUUCGGCCCCUGAGUAAAAAGCGGCGGACGGGUGCGUAAACACGUGGAUAAUCUGCCCAGAAGUGGGGGAACAACAAUCCGAAAGGAUUGCUAUAAUUGCCGCAUGUCACAACUUGGACCCCGGUCUGAGUUGGAAAAAGAGGGGCGCCCGCAAAGGGGCUCUUCCAGCUUCUGGAUGAGUCCGCGUCCCCAUCAGCUAAGUUGGCGGUGUAAUGGACCACCAAGGCAAUGACGGGUAGCUGGUCUGAGAGGGACGAACCAGCCACACUGGGACUGAGAACACGGCCCAGACUCCUAUGGGAGGCAGCAAGUGGGGAAUAUUGGGCAAUGGCGAAAGGCCUGACCCAGCCAUGGCCGCGGUGAGUGAUGAAGGCCUUCGGGUCGUAAAGGCUCUGUGGGGGAGGGACGAAAAAAACUAAACUGACCCUAAUACGUCCAGGCUUGACGGUACCUCCUUAGGCAAGCACCCGGCUGACUCCGUGCCCAGCAAGCCCGCGGUAAUACGGAGGGUGCAAACGUUUGCCGGAAUCAUUGGGCGUAAAGCGCAUGGUAGGCGGUCGGGCUUAUGUCGGAUGUGAAAGCCUCGGGCUUAAACCCGAGAAGUGCAUCCGAAGACUGGCCGGCUUGAGUACGGAAGAGGGGUUCUCGGAAUUCCGGUGUAGAGGUGAAAUUCGUAGAUAUAUCGGGAGGGAACACCAGUGGCGAAGGCGGAGACCCUGGGCCGAUAACUGACGCUGAGAUGCGAAAAAGGCGUGGGGAGCAAACAGGAUUAGAUAACCCUGGUAGUCCACAGCCGUAAAACGAUGAAGCGCUUAGGGUGUUGGGGGUAUUUGACCCCCCCCAGUACCGCAGCCAACGCGUUAAUAAAGCGCUCCGCCUGGGGGAGUACGGCCGCAAGGCUAAAACUCAAAGAAUUGACGGGGGCCCGCACAAGCGGUGGAAGUAUGUGGUUUAAAAUUAUUCGACGCAACGCGCAAAACCUACCUGGGUUAAAUCCACAAAGAAGUCCCUGGAGACAGGGACGUGCCUUCGGAGCUUUGUGAAGAAGGUUGCUGCAUGGCUGUCGUCAGCCAUCGUGUCGUGAGAUGUUGGGUUAAGGUCCCCCGCAACGAGCCGCAACCCCUGUUCGUUUAGUUGCUACCCGGUUCGGCCGAGCACUCUAGCAGACCGCCGACGGUGAAGUCGGAGGAAGGUGGGGAAUGGGACGUUCAAGUCCUCAUGGCCCUUAUGCCCAGGGCUACACACGUACUACAAUGGCCGGUACAACGCGUCGCAAUCCCGCAAGGGCCUAGCCAAUCGCAAAAAACCGGUCCCAGUUCGGAUUGCAGUCCUGCAACUCGACUGCAUGAAGUUGGAAUCGCUAGUAAUAUCGGCGGAUCAGCAUGCCGCGGUGAAUACGUUUCCCGGGGCCUUGUACACACCGCCCGUCACACCAUGGGAGUCCAGUUGCUCCAGAAGUGGCUUUGCCAAACCCGCAAGGGAGGUAAAGGUCCCCAAGGAGGGACUGGUGACUGGGGUA